rnacentral:rRNA from 1 species
AUUGAACGCUGGCGGCAGGCCUAACACAUGCAAGUCGAGCGGAUGAAGGGAGCUUGCUCCUGGAUUCAGCGGCGGACGGGUGAGUAAUGCCUAGGAAUCUGCCUGGUAGUGGGGGAUAACGUCCGGAAACGGGCGCUAAUACCGCAUACGUCCUGAGGGAGAAAGUGGGGGAUCUUCGGACCUCACGCUAUCAGAUGAGCCUAGGUCGGAGUAGCUAGUUGGUGGGGUAAAGGCCUACCAAGGCGACGAUCCGUAACUGGUCUGAGAGGAUGAGCAGUCACACUGGAGCUGAGACACGGUCCAGACUCCUACGGGAGGCAGCAGUGGGGACUAUUGGACAGUGGGCGAAAGCCUGCUCCAGCCAUGCCGCGUGUGUGAAGAAGGUCUUCGGAUUGUAAAGCACUUUAAGUUGGGAGGAAGGGCAGUAAGUUAAUACCUUGCUGUUUUGACGUUACCAACAGAAUAAGCACCGGCUAACUUCGU